rnacentral:siRNA from 1 species
UGGAAGAUACUGCAACAACCC